rnacentral:lncRNA from 1 species
UAGGCUGCGCGGGGACCACUGCCCAGGGCCUCCUGGCACAAGCCUUUUUCGUGGACAGCUGCCUGCCCUGGCUUGGAGUGGAGGCAACGAAAUGAGCACCCCGCCCCCAUCCGCGCCCCAGCGCUGUCGCCCCAGUCACCUUCCUUUGCCCUUCUCCGACAGCACCUUGGACUUGCUCUCUCCAGAACUGGGGAAAAUCUGAGGAAACCGGACAGGGACCUUGGAGACACGCCGCCUGCAUACUCAACAGCCUGGAAAUCCAGUCACCUUGGUACCUCGCAGCUUCCCAGACACUUUGGAGGGGCAGGAGCUGACAGCUGGCUGACAGAAACCUCACCCAGCGAG